rnacentral:sRNA from 1 species
GCCAGGCCCGGUGGUGCACGCCUGUAAUCUCUGAGGCUUGGGAGGCUGAGGCAGGAGGAUCGCGAGUUCAAAGCCAGCCUCAGCAACUUAGUGAGGCCCUAAGCAACUCAGUGAGACCCUGUCUCUA